AACGAACGCUGGCGGCAUGCCUAACACAUGCGAGUCGAACGAGACCUUCGGGUCUAGUGGCGCACGGGUGCGUAACGCGUGGGAACCUGCCCUUAGGUUCGGAAUAACUCCCCGAAAGGGGUGCUAAUACCGGAUAAUGUCUUCGGACAAAAGAUUUGUCGCCUUUGGAUGGGCCCGCGUUGUAUUAGCUAGUUGGUAGGGUAAGAGCCUACCAAGGCGACGAUCCAUAGCUGGUAUGAGAGGAUGAUCAGCCACACUGGGACUGAGACACGGCCCAGAAUCCUACGGGAGGCAGCAGUGGGGAAUAUUGGACAAUGGGCGAAAGCCUGAUCCAGCAAUGCCGCGUGAGUGAUGAAGGCCUUAGGGUUGUAAAGCUCUUUUACCCGGGAUGAUAAUGACGGUACCGGGAGAAUAAGCACCGGCUAACUCCGUG
rnacentral:rRNA from 1 species